rnacentral:rRNA from 1 species
GUGCCAGCCGCCGCGGUAAUACCGGCAGCCCAAGUGAUGGCCGCUGUUAUUGGGCCUAAAGCGUCCGUAGCUGGCCGCGCAAGUCCAUCGGGAAAUCCACCUGCUCAACAGGUGGGCGCCCGGUGGAAACUGUGCGGCUUGGGACCGGAAGGCGCGACGGGUACGUCCGGGGUAGGAGUGAAAUCCCGUAAUCCUGGACGGACCGCCGAUGGCGAAAGCACGUCGCGAGAACGGAUCCGACAGUGAGGGACGAAAGCCAGGGUCUCGAACCGGAUUAGAUACCCCAGUAGUCC